rnacentral:tRNA from 1 species
UAAAUAUAGUUUAAUAAAAAAUAUUGUUUUUGUAAAACAAAGAUAGCUUAGCUUAUUUAUAUUUUAUAGAUAAAA